rnacentral:rRNA from 1 species
GGUUUCCGUAGGUGAACCUGCGGAAGGAUCAUUACCGAGUGCGGGCCCCUCGGGGCCCAACCUCCCACCCGUGUUGCCCGAACCUAUGUUGCCUCGGCGGGCCCCGCGCCCGCCGACGGCCCCCCUGAACGCUGUCUGAAGUUGCAGUCUGAGACCUAUAACGAAAUUAGUUAAAACUUUCAACAACGGAUCUCUUGGUUCCGGCAUCGAUGAAGAACGCAGCGAAAUGCGAUAACUAAUGUGAAUUGCAGAAUUCAGUGAAUCAUCGAGUCUUUGAACGCACAUUGCGCCCUCUGGUAUUCCGGAGGGCAUGCCUGUCCGAGCGUCAUUGCUGCCCUCAAGCCCGGUUGAUGUGUUGGGCCCCGUCCCCCCCGCCGGGGGGACGGGCCCGAAAGGCAGCGGCGGCACCGCGUCCGGUCCUCGAGCGUAUGGGGCUUCGUCUCCCGCUCUAGUGGCCCGACCGGCGCCAGCCGACCCCCAACCUUUAUUAUCUAGGUUGACCUCGGAUCAGGUAGGGAUACCCGCUGAACUUAAGCAU